ACUCAAAUGAAUAGACGGGGGCCCGCACAAGCGGUGGAGCAUGUGGUUUAAUUCGACGCAACGCGAAGAACCUUACCUGGGCUUGAACUGUUGAAAGUAGUCUUGAUGAAAGUCGAGGCGAGCCGUUAAGUCGGAGAUCAACAGAGGUGCUGCAUGGCUGUCGUCAGCUCGUGUCGUGAGAUGUUGGGUUAAGUCCCGCAACGAGCGCAACCCUUACCCUAUGUUGCCACGUCCGUAAUGGACAGCACUCUUAGGGAACUGCCUCGGACAACGGGGAGGAAGGUGGGGAUGACGUCAAGUCACCAUGGCCUUUAUGUCCAGGGCUACACACGUGCUACAAUGGCCGGUACAGCGAGCAGCAAAUCCGCAAGGAGGAGCAAAUCUCUAAAAGCCGGCCCCAGUUCAGAUUGUGGGCUGCAAUUCGCCCACAUGAAGGUGGAAUCGCUAGUAAUCGGGGAUCAGCUGGCCCCGGUGAAUACGUUCCCGGGCCUUGCACACACCGCCCGU
rnacentral:rRNA from 1 species